GACAGAGGCCUCAAGCGUUAGGCGGAAUCACUGGGCUUAAAGCGUGUGUAGGCGGAUCGUUAAGUGUCUUGUGAAAUCCCACGGCUCACCCGUGGAACUGCUGGGCAUACUGGCGAUCUUGGGCCAACUAGGGGCAACUGGAACAAGCGGUGGAGCGGUGAAAUGCGUAGAUAUCGCUUGGAACGCCAAAGGUGAAAACAGGUUGCUGGGGGGUGUGCUG
rnacentral:rRNA from 1 species